rnacentral:rRNA from 1 species
AUACGUAGGGGGCGAGCGUUGUCCGGAAUGAUUGGGCGUAAAGGGCGCGUAGGCGGUGCGGUAAGUCUGGAGAGAAAGUCCUGCUUUCAAGGUGGGCAUUGCUUUGGAUACUGCCGCGCUUUAGUGUAGGAGAGGUUAUCGGAAUUCCCGGUGUAGCGGUGAAAUGCGUAGAGAUCGGGAGGAACACCCGUGGCGAAGGUGGGUAACUGGACUGCAACUGACGCUGAGGCGCGAAAGUGUGGGGAGCAAACAGGAUUAGAUACCCUGGUAGUCCACACUGUAAACGAUGAAUGAUAGGUGUAAGAGGUAUCGACCCCUUUUGUGCCGGAGUCAACACAAUAAGCAUUCCGCCUGGGGAGUACGGCCGCAAGGUUGAAACUCAAAGGAAUUGACGGGG